CAGUAGCCGCGGGAAUACGAAGGGGGCUAGCGUUGCUCGGAAUUACUGGGCGUAAAGGGAGCGUAGGCGGACAUUUAAGUCAGGGGUGAAUCCCAGAGCUCAACUCUGGAACUGCCUUUGAUACUGGGUGUCUUGAGUGUGAUAGAGGUAUGUGGAACUCCGAGUGUAGAGGUGAAAUUCGUAGAUAUUCGGAAGAACACCAGUGGCGAAGGCGACAUACUGGAUCAUUACUGACGCUGAGGCUCGAAAGCGUGGGGAGCAAACAGGAUUAGAGACCCCCGUAGUCCCUGUCUCUUAUACA
rnacentral:rRNA from 1 species